rnacentral:rRNA from 1 species
CGGACGGGUGAGUAACACGUGGAUAACCUACCUAUAAGACUGGGAUAACUUCGGGAAACCGGAGCUAAUACCGGAUAAUAUAUUGAACCGCAUGGUUCAAUAGUGAAAGACGGUUUUGCUGUCACUUAUAGAUGGAUCCGCGCCGCAUUAGCUAGUUUGUAAGGUAACGGCUUACCAAGGCAACGAUGCGUAGCCGACCUGAGAGGGUGAUCGGCCACACUGGAACUGAGACACGGUCCAGACUCCUACGGGAGGCAGCAGUC